UACGUAGGGGGCAAGCGUUGUCCGGAAUCAUUGGGCGUAAAGCGCGUGUAGGCGGUCCGGUAAGUCGGCUGUGAAAGUCCAGGGCUCAACCCUGGGAUGCCGGUCGAUACUGCCGGACUAGAGUUCGGAAGAGGCGAGUGGAAUUCCCGGUGUAGCGGUGAAAUGCGCAGAUAUCGGGAGGAACACCAAUGGCGAAGGCAGCUCGCUGGGACGUUACUGACGCUAAAGCGCGACAGCAUGGGGAGCAAACGGG
rnacentral:rRNA from 1 species